UACAGAGGGUGCAAGCGUUGUUCGGAAUUACUGGGCGUAAAGCGCGUGUAGGCGGUGCGUUAAGUCUCGUGUGAAAGCCCCGGGCUCAACCCGGGAAGUGCGCGAGAUACUGGCGGACUGGAGUGACGGAGAGGAUGGCGGAAUUCCCGGUGUAGAGGUGAAAUUCGUAGAUAUCGGGAGGAACACCUGUGGCGAAGGCGGCCAUCUGGACGUUGACUGACGCUGAGACGCGAAAGCAUGGGGAGCAAACAGG
rnacentral:rRNA from 1 species